rnacentral:misc_RNA from 1 species
AGCGACGUUGACCUCGGGUAACCUCCCACCCUGUGAACAUACCACUUGUUGCCUCUGGCGGAUCAGCCCGCUCCCGGUAAACGGGACGUGCCCGCCAGAGGACCCCUAAACUCUGUUUCUAUAUGUAACUUCUGAGUAAACCAUAAAUAAUCA